UCUUUUUCCAGUCUCACCACGACGAGUCUGCGUCUGUUAUUCAGAGCAGUGGGGAGCCUCUAGGCACCAUCAUGGUGUGGUGCCCUUGGGCCGCCGCGGGGCCGCUUCUCCCUGAACGCGGCUUUUUGGGGCCGUGCCCGCGACCACCCUGAGGCCCGAAAUUGGCAAGAAGCUGAAUCGAGGACGUCCAGGCCUCCCUGGAAAGCGGAAUGUGUGGAGAUGAAUUGGACAAGGACACAAAAUCAGAAUCAACAGCUGCUGUCAUCAUCUUUGUGGAUUCCUAAGGUGACUAAGGGCUGUAAAUCCUUUUUCAUACAUUGGGUCUCCAAAGAAGUUGAUAAAUCUUAAUUUUAUGUUCCUGUUGAAUUCCACAAGUAAUCCAAGGUCUUCGUGGAAGAAAAGCUAUUAAAAGGCUUUGGACUUGGGAGAUUAGUGGUGGUUUUAGAUUAUUGAGCUCUCCAGAAGGGCACAGUCAUCUGUAAUUUUAUCUCUUGUCUGUUAUGGAUUCUGUGUAUUAAAAAAUUAUACGUAAAACA